rnacentral:rRNA from 1 species
ACUCAAAUGAAUUGACGGGGGCCCGCACAAGCGGUGGAGCAUGUGGUUCAAUUCGACGCAACGCGAAGAACCUUACCCGGGCUAGACAACGGAGGACAGCCCUAGAAAUAGGGUCUUCCCUUCGGGGACCUCCGGUUCAGGUGCUGCAUGGCUGUCGUCAGCUCGUGUCGUGAGAUGUUGGGUUAAGUCCCGCAACGAGCGCAACCCUUGCCUUUAGUUGCCAUCAUUAAGUUGGGCACUCUAAAGGGACUGCCCGUGUCAAACGGGAGGAAGGCGGGGAUGACGUCAAGUCCUCAUGGCCCUUAUGUCCGGGGCUACACACGUGCUACAAUGGGCGGUACAAAGGGUUGCAAACCCGCGAGGGGGAGCCAAUCCCAAAAAGCCGUUCUCAGUUCGGAUUGGAGUCUGCAACUCGACUCCAUGAAGGCGGAAUCGCUAGUAAUCGCGGAUCAGCACGCCGCGGUGAAUACGUUCCCGGGCCUUGUACACACCGCCCGU